CUGUUUAAAAAUUAAUAAAAUAAUUUUUAUUAUCUAAAUUGAAAUGGGGUAGGGUUAACCAAGUAUACAAAGAUCUUUAUUUAAGCCCGCCCCAAGUUGAAUUGAGUAGAUUAUUCAACUCUUAGAUAGGUUUACUCUAUUGUGAGUGUACAAGCCCAAAUAUGCCCGGGCCCAAACCCAAUAAACUAAACCUAAGCCCAAACUAAAACUAUCCCAAAAAAACAAAAAUAACAGAAGCCCUAAGCAGAAAAAAAACCACCAGCCGCCGCCCUCAACAGCAGCCACGUUUGUCGUCGCCCUUUGCGCGCCUUCGCACACGUUCUCCGCCAAUUGGCUCCUGCAACAAACAACAAAUAGCCACGAAACAAGAAAAUAAUAGGAAAAUACGAGGGAAUAACAGAAAAGAUAUAGAUUCGAUUUUUGAUUGUUUUCCUCUCUGAUUUUCGGCUAUAUAAAGGCACUUUUAAUAUGUAAAAAAAGGGGAUAUAUGUAUGCAAAGAAAUACACAGAGAAUACAAAAGAUUUUUAAAAUCAAAAGGUGAUUGCGAUUCUUUUGUUUUCUUUUUUUAUGCUUAUUUUGUUUUCUUUUUUUUUUUUGUAAAAAAUAGCAGUAUAGGAGGAAGGGUUUCUUACCUGCGGGGACUCGCCGUCGACGAUCCAGGCCUACUUCAUUUGGAAUCAGAGUUGGAGGGCUGGGAUUUGGAUUGGCCGUAGGCCGAGAGCGACGAUGGAAAAGGGUUUGAAACCCUAGCAGAGAAAUCACUGCUUUUGUUUUAC
rnacentral:lncRNA from 1 species